UUGGUGUGUUCAGAGCUGCUGUUCCUAAGACCAUGGACAGGUGGUUUAUAUCACACCAUAGACAAUAAAGGGGUCUAAAUGAGUGAAGGAAGAGAAAGAUUUGUGUCCUUCAUCAGAUGACUCCUAACAUGU